AUCAUUGACUUACAUCACGAUAUCUUUUUCUUCCUCAUUCUUAUUUUGGUUUUCGUAUCACGGAUGUUGGUUCACGCUUUAUGGCAUUUCAACGAGCAAAGGUGUCCAAUCCCACAAAGGGCGGAUCUCAAUGUUCUCGUCAUGACCAAUGCUCCUAACGGGGGUGACUUUCCCAUAGACCAACCUCCCGUUGGCGGACUACCAGACCCCCAGCAGGAAAUGGCGCACGCCGCCCAUCCCAAAGACAUAAUUGCGGAGUUGACUUCCAAGGUUGAAAGAAUAUUUCACGAAGUAGGCACUCCUCUUCCUUUAGAGGAA
rnacentral:rRNA from 1 species